UAGUAAUGUUUAUUAAAGUUAAAACAAAAACAAAAAUUAAAAAGAGAAUUCUCAAUGAUUUCAACCUUUUAAAAAUACAUUAUAGUAUCUGAAUAUUCUUCCCACCCUUGUUGGCCUUCUUUGGUCCUCUUAAAAAAAGUGGUGCUCCAAACAGGAUAUACUAGUACAGAUUUUGACAAGCCAGCCCAGCGAAUAGAGGAAUAUUUUCUUCUCAGGUUCUGGUAGAAAGUAUACACAGAAGAACUGUACAAAAAGGAUCUUAUUGACCAAGAUAACCAUGAUGGUGUGAUCACUUACCUAGACCCAGACAUCAUGGAGUGCAAAGGCAAGUAGGCCUUAGGAAGCAUCACUACAAACAAAGCUAAUGGGAGGUGAUGGAAUUCCAGCUGAACUUUUUGAAAUCCUAAAACAUGAUGCUGUGAAAGUGCUACACUCAAUAUGCCAGCAAAUUUGGAAAGCUCAGCAGUGGCCACAGGACUGGAAAAGGUUCUUUUUUAUUCCAAUCCCAAAGAAAGACAGUGCCAAAGAAUGUUCAAACUACCGCACAAUUGCACUCAUCCCACACACUAGCAAAGUGAUGCUCAAAAUUCUCCAAGGUAGGCUUCAACAGUAUGUGAACUGAGAACUACCAGAUGUUCAAGCUGGAUUUAGAAAAGGCAGAGGAACCAGAGGUCCAAUUGCCAACAUCCAGUUGAUCAUAGAAAAAGCAAGAGAAUUCCAGAAAAACAUCUGGUUUAUUGACUACGCCAAAGCCUUUGACUGUGUGGAUCACAACAAACUGUGGAAAUUUCUUCAAGAGAUGAGACUACCAGACCACCUUACCUGCCUCCUGAGAAAUCUGUAUGCAGGUCAAGAAGCAACAGGUAGAACCAGACAUGGAACAAUGGACUGGUUCCAAAUUGGAAAAGGAGCCCAUUAAGGCUGUGUAUUGUUACCUUGCUUAUUUAACUUAUAUGCAGAGUACAUCAUGUGAAAUGCCAGGCUGGAUGAAGCACAAGCUGGAAUCAAGAUUGCAGGGAGAAAUAUCAGUAACUUCAGAUAUGUAGGUGACAACACCCUUACGGCAGAAAGUGAAGAGGAACUAAAGAGCCUCUUGAUGAAAGUGAAAGAGAAGAGUGAAAAGCUGGUUUAAAUCUCAGCGUUCAGAAAACUAAGAUCAUGGCAUCCGGUCCCAUCACUUCAUGGCAAAUAGAUGGGGAAACAAUGGAAACAGUGACAGAUUUUAUUUUUUUGGGCUCCCAAUCUCUUCAGAUGGUGACUGCAGCCAUGAAGUUAAAAGACGCCUGAACCUUGGAAGAAAAGCUAUGACCAACCUAGACAGCAUAUUCAAAAGGAGAGACAUUACUUUGCUGACAAAGGUCUGUCAAAGUUGUGGUUUUUCCAGUGGUCAUGUAUGGAUGUGAGAGUUGGACCAUAAAGAAAUCUGAGCACCAAAGAAUUGAUGCUUUUGAACUGUGGUGUUGGAGAAGACUCUUGAGAUUCCCUUGGACUGCAAGGAGAUCCAACCAGUCCAUCCUAAAGGAGAUUAGUCCUGAAUAUUCAUUGGAAGGACUGAUGCUGAAGCUGAAGCUCCAGUUCUUUGGCCACCUGAUGCGAAGAACUGACACAUUGGAAAAGACCCUGAUGCUGGGAAAGAUUGAGGGCAGAAGGAGAAGGGGAUGACAGAGGAUGCGAUGGUUCGAUAGUAUCACCGACUCAAUGGAUAUGAGUUAGAGCAAGCUCCAGGAGUUGGUAAUGGAUAGGGAAGCCUAGCAUGCUGCAGUCCAUGGGGUUGCAAAGAGUUGGACACGACUGAAUGACUGAACUGAAUGGCGGGAGUAUGGUUUAUUAAGUGAAAGUGAAAAUCUCCCAAUCAGUCGGGCACGACUGAGUGACUUUCACUUUGACUAGCCGGACUUUUAUUGGCAAAGUUCCUGCUUUUUGAUACUCUGUCUAGGUUUGUCAUAGCUUUCCUUCAAAGGAGCAGUUCAGUUCAGCUGAGUUGCUCAGUCGUGUCUGACUCUUGGCGACUCAAUGGAUUGCAGCACGCCAGGCCUCCCUAUUCAUCACCAACUCCUGCAGUUUACUCAAACUCAUGUCCAUUGUGUUGGUGAUACCAUCCAACCAUCUCAUCCUCUGUCAUCCCCUUCUCCUCCCGCCUUCAAUCUUUCCCAGCAUAAGGGUCGAAAACAAAGACUGUAGAGACCAUAGAGUUUAGGAAAUCAUAGGCAUAUGGUUCGUUCCUUAGGGCUUGGGAAUGGAAGAGACCUCACAAAGUGUGUUUAGCUGAAGAGAUAAAAGGAGAGGGGGAAUGCUGCAGAGGAUCAACGUAGGUAAUUUGCAAAAGAUGAGAAUUAAGUAAAGGAGAUUAAGAAGGAAGUCAAUGGUAGAAGAAUAAGGAGAGGGGGACACAGUAGAGCCCAGGGGUGAAGCAAGUUUUAGGAAGGGUUAAGUGGUCAGUGGUGUCAGAUACCUUAGGUUAAAAGCCAAAAACUGAAGGAUAAGAACUGAAGAGUGGUUAUUGAGUUUGGCCACUAGGAAUUCAUUGGUGACCUUUAAUAAGAAACGUUUUAGUGGAGUGAUGAAAGUGUAGUACAGGUGCCUUCAGUUGUAGACUCUAAAUGUUUAUUAGUGAAAGGAUGAGGGAAAGUGGGUCACAGCUUGUGGGACAAAUAGAGUUGAGAGAAAAAAGAUUUUUUUUUUUAAGAAGGGAAGACUUGAACAUAUUUAUAGAAUGAGGAGAUGGAGUUAGAGGAAAGGCAGAUAUUGUGGGUGAGAAAAAGGAGUUAACUGAAGAUUCUACAGAAGGUUGGGGGUUUUAGUCUUAAGAGUUUCAGUGGGGAUUAGUUUUAGAAAGAAGAAAUACAUUUUCCUUUAUGAUGGAUAGGAAGGAGAUAAGAAUGGUUGAAGACAAAGGAGUAGGAG
ensembl:lncRNA